GGAAAAAUCACCUGAGGAUCUUAUUAAAAGGCAGGUUCGAAUUUAGUAGAGGUGACGUGGGCUUGAGAUUCUUCAUUUCUCAAAAGCUUCCAUGUGGUGCUGAU
rnacentral:pre_miRNA from 1 species